CACUUAUCCAAUCAGAUGGUGCUCAAGGACCCGAUCGACGUUGUGAAUCCGAGUCUUCCCUCUUCAACGUUUGGACCCGUUGCUUGUCGGCAGGCCCUCAGGAAACGUGGCGUCACGAGCCACCUGCUGUCACACACACACGCAGACUGGUGACUGAAGCUCCACCCAAAAAGCACUGCAUAUUUUGUUGUCAAGCACACUCACCUGCUUUUUCUUUGACUCUGCAUGCAGUGCAGCUUCCAGUGACCCUCCACCUGCUGGGCAAAGAGACAAAUGCGACAAGCUUGCAGAAGGUCCUCACUGCUGUCUCCAUUUGCAACGUUGCCGUUGAAAGUUACGAAAUAAUGGGGGGGGUGUCUCUCUCGUUUGUGGUGUUGGCAGGUUUUGACCACCUUGGAUGAGUCACUGGAACAGAAGCAGCAUGAGCAACUGUCGUAGCAAAAGGUUCCAGUCUCCAGUUAAUCAACACUUGGGAAGCAAGUUGAAAAAUGAGGAGCAGAGUACAACGGAACUGCGUUUCUGGUUUGUAAUUGGUGUCUACCAACCUGUGCUUUGUCUUUCAGAUGGAGCUGUUGCAGUGCGAUGAGAGUUGAAGAUUGUUCUUGGGUCCUCUGUGCCACAAGGGGGAGUAACCUGCUCACCGCCGGAGUCAACCCACAAGCACAGACCUGCAGCCAACACUUUUUUGCUCUUCCUGUUAUUCGCUAGGUGCUGAAGUCAAAUUUUGGGCCAGCCUGAAAAACAGCAGUAAACAUGAUCGGCUUCCUGCUCUCCAAAGACCCAACACUGACUCUCUCGUAAGUCAACACACCUGUCCCACGUUCUUAAGAGCC